AACGAACGCUGGCGGCAUGCCUAACACAUGCAAGUCGAACGAUCCCUUCGGGGUUAGUGGCGCACGGGUGCGGAACGCGGGGGAACCUGCCCUUAGGUUCGGUAUAACUCAGAGAAAUUUGAGCUAAUACCGGUUAAUGUCUUCGGACCAAAGAGCUAUCGCCUUUGGAUGGGGCCGCGUUGGCUUGGCCAGUUGGUGGGGUAAAGGCAUACCAAGGCGACGAUCCAUAGCUGGUCUGAUAGGAUGAUCAGCCACACUGGCACUGAGACACGGCCCAGACUCGUACGGGAGGGAGCAGAAGGGAGUAUAGGGCAAGGAAGCAAAGUGCAGUACAGCCGUGCGGGGGAAGUGAUGAAGGCGGUAGGAUUGUAAAGCUCUUUGAGCCGAGGUGAGAGUGACAGUAACGGGUGAAUAAGCCCCGGCUAACUCCGUG
rnacentral:rRNA from 1 species